rnacentral:rRNA from 1 species
ACGGGGGGAGCUAGCGUUGUUCGGAAUUACUGGGCGUAAAGCGCGCGUAGGCGGCGACUCAAGUCAGAGGUGAAAGCCUGGAGCUCAACUCCAGAACUGCCUUUGAAACUAGGUUGCUAGAAUCUUGGAGAGGCGAGUGGAAUUCCGAGUGUAGAGGUGAAAUUCGUAGAUAUUCGGAAGAACACCAGUGGCGAAGGCGACUCGCUGGACAAGUAUUGACGCUGAGGUGCGAAAGCGUGGGGAGCAAACAGGA